rnacentral:rRNA from 1 species
UACGAAUGGGGCAAGCGUUGUUCGGAUUUACUGGGCGUAAAGCGCACGUAGGCGGACUUCUAAGUCAGGGGUGAAAUCCCGGGGCUCAACCUCGGAACUGCCUUUGAUACUGGAAGUCUCGAGUCCGAGAGAGGUGAGUGGAACUCCUAGUGUAGAGGUGAAAUUCGUAGAUAUUAGGAAGAACACCAGUGGCGAAGGCGGCUCACUGGCUCGGUACUGACGCUGAGGUGCGAAAGCGUGGGGAGCAAACAGG